rnacentral:rRNA from 1 species
AUGCCUUGGCUGAUGGCUGCGAUGAAGGACGUGGUAAGCUGCGAAAAGUCUCGGGGAGUUGCACGCGAACGGUGAUCCGGGAAUGUCCGAAUGGGGGAACCCUUCCAGGUGAAAGCCUGGAAAUCUCUUUGCUGAAUACAUAGGCAGGGAGAAGCGAACCUGGGGAAGUGAACCAUCUCAGUACCCAGAGGAACAGAAAACAAUAGUGAUUCCGGAAGUAGCGGCGAGCGAAACCGGAAGAGCCCAAACCUUUUACGUGUAAGCGGCAGGCGUUGCGUAGAGGGGGUCGUGGGAGUCACAGGCUGAAGCUGCCCUUCAGCACAGAGUUACAAAGUUGGCGUUUAGCGGAACGGUUUGGAAAAGCCGGCGAGACAGGGUGAUAGCCCCGUAUGCGAAAAGCGACCAAUCUCUGAGUGGAGUUCCCAAGUAUGUCGGGACACGAGAAAUCCUGACAGAAUUUGCCGCGACCAUGCGGUAAGGCUAAAUAGGUCCAUCAGACCGAUAGUGAACCAGUACCGUGAGGGAAAGGCGAAAAGAACCCCGAUGAGGGGAGUGAAAUAGAACCUGAAACCGUCAAUCUACAAGCAGUGGAACCACUAUUGUUUACAAGUGGAACCGCGUGCCUUUUGCAUAAUGAGCCGGCUAGUUAUUUUCAGUGGCGAGGCGAAGCCGAUGAGGCGAAGCCGAAGGGAAACCGAGUCUGAAUAGGGCGAAUAGUCGCUGGGAAUAGACGCGAAACGGGAUGAUCUAUCCUUGAGCAGGAUGAAGUCCGGGUGACACCGGAUGGAGGUCCGAACCAGUAGGGGUUGAAAACCGUUUGGAUGACUUGAGGAUGGGGGUGAAAGGCCAAUCAAAUUCCGUGAUAGCUCGUUCUCCCCGAAAUAGCUUUAGGGCUAGCGUCGGAUGUUUCGUCGUGCAGGUAGAGACCUGAAUGGACUAGGGGGCACACCCGCUUACCGAAUCCAACCAAUCUUCGAAUGGCACGCCGUGAAGUCCGGCAGUCAGACUGCGGGUGAUAAGAUCCGUAGUCGAGAGGGAAAGAACCCAGAUCGCCAGCUAAGGUCCCAAAAUACAUGCUAAGUGGAAAAGGAUGUGGAUGUGCUUAGACAGCCAGGAGGUUAGCUUAGAAGCAGCUAUCCUUUAAAGAAAGCGUAAUAGCUCACUGGUCAAGCGGGUCUGUGCCGACAAUUCAACGGGGCUCAAGCAUAUUACCGAAGCUGCGAACGAGAGUGGUAGGGGAGCAUUCCCUACGUCUGUGAAGGUUGACCGUAAGGACAGCUGGAGACAUGGGAAGAGACUCUGUCGGCAUAAGUAGCGUAAAGACAGGCGAGAACCCUGUCCGCCGUAAGACUAAGGUUUCCAACGCAAGGUCAAUCCGCGUUGGGUUAGUCGGGCCCUAAGCCGAGGCCGAGAGGCGUAGGCGAUGGAAAGCUGGUUAAUAGUCCAGCACCAUGAAUACUUCGUUUGUACGAUGCAGGGACGCAGGAAGGUAGUCGAGCAGCUCUAUGGAAUGUGCUGUGAAACCUGUCAAGGGUGGCGCUUAGGGAAGUCCGGGCGCCGUAAGCUCAAGACUUGUGACGAAAGGCGAUGAUCCUACACUGCCGAGAAAAGCUGCUAAGGAGAGGUAUUUGUGUCCGUACCGCAAACCGACACAGGUAGUCGAGGAGAGAAUCCUCAGGCGUUUGAGAGAACUCUGCUGAAGGAACUCGGCAAAUUAACCCCGUAACUUCGGGAGAAGGGGUGCCUGGGCAACCAGGCCGCAGUGAAAAGGCCCAAGCGACUGUUUAACAAAAACACAGGUCUCUGCUAAGUCGUAAGACGACGUAUAGGGGCUGACGCCUGCCCGGUGCUGGAAGGUUAAAGGGAGAGGUUAGCCGCAAGGCGAAGCUUUGAACUGAAGCCCCAGUGAACGGCGGCCGUAACUAUAACGGUCCUAAGGUAGCGAAAUUCCUUGUCGGGUAAGUUCCGACCUGCACGAAUGGCGUAACGAUGGCCACACUGUCUCCUCCCGAGACUCAGCGAAGUUGAAAUGUUUGUGAUGAUACAAUCUACCCGCGGCUAGACGGAAAGACCCCAUGAACCUUUACUGUAGCUUUGCAUUGGACUUUGAACAGAUUUGUGUAGGAUAGGUGGGAGGCAUUGAAGCCGGGACGCUAGUUCUGGUGGAGCCGACGUUGAAAUACCACCCUGAUGUGUUUGAGGUUCUAACCCAGGUCCGUAAUCCGGAUCGGGGACCGUGCAUGGUAGGCAGUUUGACUGGGGCGGUCUCCUCCCAAAGUGUAACGGAGGAGUGCGAAGGUAUCCUAGGUACGGUCGGAAAUCGUACUGAUAGUGCAAUGGCAAAAGAAGGCUUGACUGCGAGACUGACACGUCGAGCAGGUGCGAAAGCAGGUCAUAGUGAUCCGGUGGUUCUGUAUGGAAGGGCCAUCGCUCAACGGAUAAAAGGUACUCUGGGGAUAACAGGCUGAUUCCUCCCAAGAGUUC